rnacentral:rRNA from 1 species
CCUACGGGAGGCAGCAGUAAGGAAUAUUGGUCAAUGGACGCAAGUCUGAACCAGCCAUGCCGCGUGGAGGAUGAAGGUCCUCUGGAUUGUAAACUUCUUUUAUGUGGGACGAAAAAGGGCCUUUCUAGGUCAACUGACGGUACCAUAUGAAUAAGCACCGGCUAACUCUGUGCCAGCAGCCGCGGUAAUACGGAGGGUGCAAGCGUUAUCCGGAUUCACUGGGUUUAAAGGGUGCGUAGGUGGGUCGGUAAGUCAGUGGUGAAAUCUCCGAGCUUAACUUGGAAACUGCCAUUGAUACUAUCGAUCUUGAAUACUGUGGAGGUCAGCGGAAUAUGUCAUGUAGCGGUGAAAUGCUUAGAUAUGACAUAGAACACCAAUUGCGAAGGCAGCUGGCUACACAAUUAUUGACACUGAGGCACGAAAGCGUGGGGAUCAAACAGGAUUAGAUACCCUGGUAGUCCACGCCCUAAACGAUGGAUACUCGACAUUUGCGAUAAACUGCAAGUGUCUGAGCGAAAGCAUUAAGAUCCCACCUGGGAAGUACGAUCGCAGAUUGAAACUCAAAGGAAUUGACGGCUUGAGGACGNGCGAGGACGACACGAGGGAGGAGG